rnacentral:rRNA from 1 species
AACGAACGCUGGCGGCAGGCUUAACACAUGCAAGUCGAACGGGCGUAGCAAUACGUCAGUGGCAGACGGGUGAGUAACACGUGGGAACCUUCCUCGUAGUACGGAACAACUCAGGGAAACUUGAGCUAAUACCGUAUACGUCCGAGAGGAGAAAGAUUUAUCGCUAUGAGACGGGCCCGCGUCCGAUUAGGUAGUUGGUGGGGUAACGGCCUACCAAGCCGACGAUCGGUAGCUGAUCUGAGAGGAUGAUCAGCCACACUGGGACUGAGACACGGCCCAGACUCCUACGGGAGGCAGCAGUGGGGAAUCUUGGACAAUGGGCGCAAGCCUGAUCCAGCCAUGCCGCGUGAGUGAAGAAGGCCUUAGGGUUGUAAAGCUCUUUUGCCAGGGAUGAUAAUGACGGUACCUGGAGAAUAAGCCCCGGCAAACUUCGCGCCAGCAGCCGCCGUAAAAC